CUCCCUCCGUCCCAAAAUAAACGCAGCCAUGAGUUUCCGUGUCCAACUUAACCGUUCGUCUUAUUUAAUUUUCUUUUGAGAAAUCUAAAAAGCAUCGGUCACAUAAAGUACUAUUUAUAUUUUAUAAUCUAAUAACAAUAAAAUACUAAUUAUAAAAAAAAUUCAAAUAAGACAGACGAUCAAAGUUAGACACGGAAACUCAUGGCUGCGCUUAUUUUGGGACGGAGGGA
rnacentral:pre_miRNA from 1 species